CGUUCUCUGUAGUCGGAGCGUUCAAAAAGAUCCUAACCAGAUCUUAUUCAUUCCGACCUCUGUUCAGGUGAGACUACCCCCUGAAUUUAAGCAUAUUAAUAAGGGGAGGAAAAGAAACUAAC
rnacentral:rRNA from 1 species